CAGUCGAGGGGCAGCAUGGUCUUAGCUUGCUAAGGCUGAUGGCGACCGGCGCACGGGUGAGUAACACGUAUCCAACCUGCCGUCUACUCUUGGCCAGCCUUCUGAAAGGAAGAUUAAUCCAGGAUGGGAUCAUGAGUUCACAUGUCCGCAUGAUUAAAGGUAUUUUCCGGUAGACGAUGGGGAUGCGUUCCAUUAGAUAGUAGGCGGGGUAACGGCCCACCUAGUCAACGAUGGAUAGGGGUUCUGAGAGGAAGGUCCCCCACAUUGGAACUGAGACACGGUCCAAACUCCUACGGGAGGCAGCAGUGAGGAAUAUUGGUCAAUGGGCGAUGGCCUGAACCAGCCAAGUAGCGUGAAGGAUGACUGCCCUAUGGGUUGUAAACUUCUUUUAUAAAGGAAUAAAGUCGGGUAUGCAUACCCGUUUGCAUGUACUUUAUGAAUAAGGAUCGGCUAACUCCGUGCCAGCAGCCGCGGUAAUACGGAGGAUCCGAGCGUUAUCCGGAUUUAUUGGGUUUAAAGGGAGCGUAGAUGGAUGUUUAAGUCAGUUGUGAAAGUUUGCGGCUCAACCGUAAAAUUGCAGUUGAUACUGGAUGUCUUGAGUGCAGUUGAGGCAGGCGGAAUUCGUGGUGUAGCGGUGAAAUGCUUAGAUAUCACGAAGAACUCCGAUUGCGAAGGCAGCCUGCUAAGCUGCAACUGACAUUGAGGCUCGAAAGUGUGGGUAUCAAACAGGAUUAGAUACCCUGGUAG
rnacentral:rRNA from 1 species